AGCUCCAAUAGUAUAUAUUAGUGUUGUUGCAGUUAAAGCGCUCGUAGUUGGAUUUCGGGGCAGCUUGACUGGUCCGCCGAAAGGUGUGUACUGGCCUUGAGCUGUUCUUCCUUUUGAUGAACCGUCAUGCUCUUUACCGGGUGUGGCGAGGAAUCAAAACUUUUACUUUGAAAAAAUUAGAGUGUUCAAAGCAGGCUUUUAAGCAUGAAUACAUUAGCAUGGAAUAAUAAAAUAGGACCUUCGGUUCUGUUUUGUUGGUUUUUUGGAACUGAGGUAAUGAUUAAUAGGGAUAGUUGGGGGCAUUAGUAUUUAAUUGUCAGAGGUGAAAUUCUUGGAUUUAUGAAAGACUAACUUCUGCGAAAGCAUUUGCCAAGGAUGUUUUCAUUAAUCAAGAACGAAA
rnacentral:rRNA from 1 species